AUUUUCCUCUGCUUGUAAGCUAACAAGUGAGCCUGCCACAGUUUCAUGGAUGCUGGCAGAAGACACAAGACCCCUGCAUCAGAGGUGCUGGGGACACGGAAAACAAGCAGAGCAGACCCAGCCUGGAGGAGCCCCCCAUCUCAGAGGGGAGCUUCCCUCCACCAGCCUCCUGAGGACGUGGAAGACUUAAGCAGAUCUCUGACUGGCCUUAGAAAAUAAGACCCAUUCUUGCUCUACAGAGCUGGUGAUCCAUCUCUCAGAUUUGACUUGAGGAGUCCUACCACUAGAUGCAGCCAGAGACUGUCAAUCAGAGGCCAGCCCUCCACUGCCUAGGGAUGAACAGCACCCACCCAGGCAAAUCAGCUUCUCUCACCAGGAACCUGAGUUUGAUGGAAAGCACAUCGUUGGAACCAUGGCAUUCUGACAGCAGUCUCCUGGAGAGAUUUCUCUUGAAUUCCUUCCUCUGGGAUCCCUGGAGCUUCCAUCCUUCAAGUCCUUUCUGAAGCUAGGCUGUUCAGUCUUCCCUUUAACCCUGUGAGAAAUUCAACAUACUUCCCAUCAAUUCCAUCUCUGUUUUAGUCAGGAAAGAUUUCUGUUGCUUGCAACCAGAGAAUCUUAACUGACAAAUGUAACUCACUAAGCUCUUCCUCUGAAGAUCUUCAGAGAGCCACUGACUUGCUGCAAUAUGACCUUCUUGCACCCCCUCUUUGAAAUACCAAGCACAGAUCCUGAAAGUACUUCAUCCUCAAAGUCUGCAAGCGAGGCAAAGGGAGACUGGGUACAGACAGAAGAGAAGGUCAUGUGAAGAUGGAGGCAGAGACUGGAGUGAUGCAGCCGUAAGCCAAGGAAUGCUUGUAGUCACCAGAAGCUGGAAGAGACAAGAAAGAGAUUCUUCCCUAGGGCCUCUGAGGGCAGCACAGCUCUGCUGAUGCUUCAGUUUCGACCCAGUGAUACUGACUGCAGAUUACUGGCAUCCAGAACUGUG
rnacentral:lncRNA from 1 species